rnacentral:misc_RNA from 1 species
GAUGAAGAACGCAGCGAAAUGCGAUAAGUAAUGUGAAUUGCAGAAUUCAGUGAAUCAUCGAAUCUUUGAACGCACAUUGCGCCCGCCAGUAUUCUGGCGGGCAUGCCUGUUCGAGCGUCAUUUCAACCAUCAAGCCCCAGGCUUGUGUUGGGGACCUGCGGCUGCCGCAGGCCCUGAAAACCAGUGGCGGGCUCGCUGUCACACCGGGCGUAGUAGAUUUUAUCUCGCUCAGGGCGUGCUGCGGGUCCCGGCCGUUAAAAACCUUUUUUUACCCAAGGUUGACCUCGGAUCAGGUAGGAAGACCCGCUGAACUUAAGCAUAUCAAUAAGCGGAGGA